rnacentral:rRNA from 1 species
AGGAUAUAUUCGGAACAUCUUCUUCAGAAGAUGCGGAAUAACGUGACAUAUUGUAUUCAGUUUUGAAUGUUUAUUUAACAUUCAAAUAUUUUUUGGUUAAAGCGAUAUUGCUUAUGNNNNNNNNNUCAAAGGAAUUGACGGGGACCCGCACAAGCGGUGGAGCAUGUGGUUUAAUUCGAAGCAACGCGAAGAACCUUACCAAAUCUUGACAUCCUUUGACAACUCUAGAGAUAGAGCCUUCCCCUUCGGGGGACAAAGUGACAGGUGGUGCAUGGUUGUCGUCAGCUCGUGUCGUGAGAUGUUGGGUUAAGUCCCGCAACGAGCGCAACCCUUAAGCUUAGUUGCCAUCAUUAAGUUGGGCACUCUAAGUUGACUGCCGGUGACAAACCGGAGGAAGGUGGGGAUGACGUCAAAUCAUCAUGCCCCUUAUGAUUUGGGCUACACACGUGCUACAAUGGACAAUACAAAGGGCAGCGAAACCGCGAGGUCAAGCAAAUCCCAUAAAGUUGUUCUCAGUUCGGAUUGUAGUCUGCAACUCGACUACAUGAAGCUGGAAUCGCUAGUAAUCGUAGAUCAGCAUGCUACGGUGAAUACGUUCCCGGGUCUUGUACACACCGCCCGUCACACCACGAGAGUUUGUAACACCCGAAGCCGGUGGAGUAACCUUUUAGGAGCUAGCCGUCGAAGGUGGGACAAAUGAUUGGGGUGAAGUCGUAACAAGGUAGCCGUAUCGGAAGGUGCGGCUG